CAGACAUAAAUCGUAUGUAAAUCUCUGCCAGGAGGACAACCUCAUGAAACAGAAGCAGAAAGACAGCUGAGCAGCGGCUGGAAUGGGGUGUGCAUGGUGGACAGAGGAGCAAGAUUCAGAUGGUCUGGGAGCUGCACGUGGACUUCGAGGUUCUAGAAUCACUCUCUGGUGGAUAUUUGCUGUGGAUCCAGCGCUGGCUGAGGCAUUUGAGGGAAUCAAACAAAACGCAGAGCUGUGACCUUAAGGAAUAAAUAAUCUAGCACAAGAGACAGGAUUUGAAGAGAGAUGCUGGGACCACUGACAGAAGAGUAAGAGUUGGAGAAGUUCUUUUAGAGGUCAUCUAGUACAACCUUCUACCCAAUGAAGAAGGUACUUUCUAUGGGAGGUAAAUAAGUGAUAGACCAGCAACCAGCUGGAUGGACAUCAGCAGCAGAGUGCCAGUAAUAGCUAAUAAUAACGCUGAUUGAAUGCUUAUUGU